AAGGUCAGGCUGAAGACUUACCCGAUUAGCUGAGAGGUGGUGCAUGGCCGUCGUCAGUUCGUACUGUGAAGCAUCCUGUUAAGUCAGGCACGAGCGAGACCCACGUCCACAGUUGCCAGCAUACCCUCCGGGGUGAUGGGUACACUGUGGAGACCGCCGCUGCUAAAGCGGAGGAAGGAGUGGGCAACGGUAGGUCAGUAUGCCCCGAAUCUCCCGGGCUACACGCGGGCUACAAUGGUUGGUACAAUGGGCAUCUACCCCGAAAGGGGAAGGAAAUCUCUUAAAGCCAAUCGUAGUUCGGAUUGAGGGCUGCAACUCGCCCUCAUGAAGCUGGAAUCCGUAGUAAUCGCGUUUCAACAGAACGCGGUGAAUACGUCCCUGCUCCUU
rnacentral:rRNA from 1 species